rnacentral:rRNA from 1 species
AGUGAACGCUGGCGGUAGGCCUAACACAUGCAAGUCGAACGGCAGCACAGUAAGAGCUUGCUCUUACGGGUGGCGAGUGGCGGACGGGUGAGGAAUACAUCGGAAUCUACUUUUUCGUGGGGGAUAACGUAGGGAAACUUACGCUAAUACCGCAUACGACCUACGGGUGAAAGCAGGGGAUCUUCGGACCUUGCGCGAUUGAAUGAGCCGAUGUCGGAUUAGCUAGUUGGCGGGGUAAAGGCCCACCAAGGCGACGAUCCGUAGCUGGUCUGAGAGGAUGAUCAGCCACACUGGAACGGAGACACGGUCCAGACUCCUACGGGAGGCAGCAGUGCGGAAUAUUGGACAAUGGGCGCGAGCCUGAUCCAGCCAUACCGCGUGGGUGAAGAAGGCCUUCGGGUUGUAAAGCCCUUUUGUUGGGAAAGAAAAGCAGCAGGUUAAUACCCCGCUGUUCUGACGGUACCCAAAGAAUAAGCACCGGCUAACUUCGUG